AGAGUUUGAUCCUGGCUCAGAUUGAACGCUGGCGGCAUGCUUUACACAUGCAAGUCGAACGGCAGCACGGGGGCAACCCUGGUGGCGAGUGGCGAACGGGUGAGGAAUGCACCGGAACGUAUCUUCAAGUGGGGGAUAACGCAUCGAAAGGUGUGCUAAUACCGCAUAAUCUCUGAGGAGAAAAGCAGGGGAUCGCAAGACCUUGCGCUUUUGGAGCGGCCGAUGCCUGAUUAGCUUGUUGGUGAGGUAAAAGCUCACCAAGGCUUCGAUCAGUAGCUGGUCUGAGAGGGCGACCAGCCACACUGGGACUGAGACACGGCCCAGACUCCUACGGGAGGCAGCAGUGGGGAAUUUUGGACAAUGGGGGCAACCCUGAUCCAGCCAUGCCGCGUGAGUGAAGAAGGCCUUCGGGUUGUAAAGCUCUUUCAGCCGGAACGAAACGGUCACGGUUAAUACCCGUGACUACUGACGGUACCGGAAGAAGAAGCACCGCUAACUA
rnacentral:rRNA from 1 species